rnacentral:lncRNA from 1 species
AAGAUACUUCGAAACAUAAAAAUCUAUUGAAACAAGAAGUAGAAGUCCUUUGUCUAGGACAAAGAAAUACAGCAGCGCAUAUCAUGUAAGGUAGUGUGCUCUUGCAUAAUGGGUAAGUAAAAGAGAUCCAACCUUUCCGUCAUCAGUGUCUUCAUCCGCCAGUGUCCUUAACAACCGUAGCAGCUCAUACCUCACAUCUUUACUUCUGUAUGUCAGGUAUCUAUCAAGCAGCUGAAUGAUCCCAGCUUCACGGACUCGUACCUUGUUGUACUGUUUCCCUUCACAGGUCAUUUGCAGAUCUCUGAAUGCGUCGA